UACGUAGGGUGCGAGCGUUGUCCGGAAUUAUUGGGCGUAAAGAGCUCGUAGGCGGUUUGUCGCGUCUGCUGUGAAAACCCGAGGCUCAACCUCGGGCCUGCAGUGGGUACGGGCAGACUAGAGUGCGGUAGGGGAGAAUGGAACUCCUGGUGUAGCGGUGGAAUGCGCAGAUAUCAGGAAGAACACCGAUGGCGAAGGCAGUUCUCUGGGCCGUAACUGACGCUGGAGGAGCGAAAGCGUGGGGAGCGAACAGG
rnacentral:rRNA from 1 species